rnacentral:rRNA from 1 species
UACGUAGGGGGGCUAGCGUUGUCCGGAAUCAUUGGGCGUAAAGCGCGUGUAGGCGGUCCGGUAAGUCCGCUGUGAAAAGUCGGGGGGCUCAACCCUCGGAUGCCGGUGGAUACUGUCGGGCUUGAGUACGGAAGAGGCGAGUGGAAAUUCCUGGUGUAGCGGUGAAAUGCGCAGAUAUCAGGAGGAACACCAAUGGCGAAGGCAGCUCGCUGGGACGGUACUGACGCUGAGGCGCGAAGGCGUGGGGAGCAAACAGG